rnacentral:RNase_P_RNA from 1 species
CGCACAGACCGCCUUAUCGCUGUUCGCCUUGGCGGAGAGAGGAAAGUCCGGACACCACAGAGAAGCAUAGCGGGUAACACCCGUCAUUUCGUCUUUCGGGACGAGAUAGGACAAGUGCAACAGAAAGUAUGUACAGGUAAUGCUGUAGUGAAACCAGGUAAACUCUAUGCGGUGAAAUACCAAGUAUAUCAGCUCCCGAUAGCUAUCGGGAUAAAAAGGAUUUCUCGUCCGUUGCUGAAGGGUAGGUAGCUUGAUCUUGUUGGUAACAACAAGGCUAGAUAAAUGAUAAGGGUUCGCCUCGGCGAAUACAGAAUCCGGCUUAUAGGUCUGUUUUUUAU